rnacentral:rRNA from 5 species
AUUGCAGAACACAUUGAACAUCGACAUCUUGAACGCAUAUGGCGGCCUCGGGUCCAUCCCGAGGCCACGCCCGUCUGAGGGUCGGCG